UACAGAGGGGGCAAGCGUUAUUCGGAAUUAUUGGGCGUAAAGGGCGCGUAGGCGGCUUGGCAAGUGGAUGGUGAAAUCCCUCGGCUUAACCGAGGAACUGCCGUCCAAAACUGCUUCGCUUGAGACCGGGAGAGGUGAGUGGAAUUCCCAGUGUAGCGGUGAAAUGCGUAGAUAUUGGGAGGAACACCAGUGGCGAAGGCGGCUCACUGGACCGGUACUGACGCUGAUGCGCGAAAGCGUGGGGAGCAAACGGG
rnacentral:rRNA from 1 species